rnacentral:rRNA from 1 species
GCUACCAUGCAGUCGAGGGGCAGCAUGGGCUUAGCUUGCUAAGCCCGAUGGCGACCGGCGCCCNUUUUGAGUAACACGUAUCCAACCUUCCGGUAACUCCGGUAUANCCUUUCGAAAGAAAGAUUAAUCCCGGAUAGUAUGGUGAUUCCGCAUGGUUUUUCCAUUAAAGGAUUCCGGUUACCGAUGGGGAUGCGUUCCAUUAGGCAGUUGGCGGGGUAACGGCCCACCAAACCUACGAUGGAUAGGGGUUCUGAGAGGAAGGUCCCCCACAUUGGAACUGAGACACGGUCCAAACUCAUACGGGAGGCAGCAGUGAGGAAUAUUGGUCAAUGGGCGGAAGCCUGAACCAGCCAAGUAGCGUGAAGGAUGACUGCCCUAUGGGUUGUAAACUUCUUUUAUAAGGGAAUAAAAUGUGGGUACGCGUACCCGUUUGCAUGUACCUUAUGAAUAAGGAUCGGCUAACUCCGUGCCAGCAGCCGCGGUAAUACGGAGGAUCCGAGCGUUAUCCGGAUUUAUUGGGUUUAAAGGGAGCGUAGGCCNGGGCGCUUAAGUCAGCUGUGAAAGUUUGGGGCUCAACCUUAAAAUUGCAGUUGAUACUGGGUGCCUUGAGUGCAGUAUAGGCAGGCGGAAUUCGUGGUGUAGCGGUGAAAUGCUUAGAUAUCACGAAGAACUCCUAUUGCGAAGGCAGCUUGCUGGAGUGUAACUGACGCUGAUGCUCGAAAGUGUGGGUAUCAAACAGGAUUAGAUACCCUGGUAGUCCACACAGUAAACGAUGAAUACUCGCUGUUUGCGAUAUACUGCAAGCGGCCAAGCGAAAGCGUUAAGUAUUCCACCUGGGGAGUACGCCGGCAACGGUGAAACUCAAAGGAAUUGACGGGGGCCCGCACAAGCGGAGGAACAUGUGGUUUAAUUCGAUGAUACGCGAGGAACCUUACCCGGGCUUGAAUUGCAACCGAAUUACCCGGAGACGGGUAAGCCGCAAGGCAAUUGUGAAGGUGCUGCAUGGUUGUCGUCAGCUCGUGCCGUGAGGUGUCGGCUUAAGUGCCAUAACGAGCGCAACCCNUUAUCCACAGUUACCAUCAGGUGAUGCUGGGGACUCUGUGGAGACUGCCGUCGUAAGAUGCGAGGAAGGGGGGGAUGACGUCAAAUCAGCACGGCCCUUACGUCCGGGGCUACACACGUGUUACAAUGGGGGGUACAGCAGGCAGCUCGGCGGCGACGCCCGGCCAAUCCCUAAAUCCCCUCUCAGUUCGGACUGGAGUCUGCAACCCGACUCCACGAAGCUGGAUUCGCUAGUUUUNAANGGNUCAGCCACGGCGCGGUGAAUACGUUCCCGGGCCUUUUNNAAGGGGNGCCCGUCAAGCCAUGAAAGCCGGGGGUACCUGAAGUGCGUAACCGUUAGAGCGCCCUAGGAAUC